rnacentral:lncRNA from 1 species
ACAAAGUUGAAAAUAAAUACAAUGUAUCAUUCAUUACAAAUUAUCAUCCUCAAGCAGAAAAACUUCAAAAAGUAUUCAGGAAAUACUGGAAUCUUAUUAAAACGGAUUCUACAAUAGGUGCUAAAUUCCAUAAAAACCUAUCAAUAGGUUUCAAAAGAAACAGAAACAUUGGUGAAUUAGUUAAACGAGCUAUAAAAUAAUUUAUCUAAACCUCACAAUUCCUACUAAACAUUUAACUGUGCGGAACUAAUUAAUGACCAUCAUGUAAACAACACAUGUAAACUGAUAUUCUUCUGAGGACAAAUUCGUACUCUGAAACGCGUAAUUAAUUAAUUCAACAUUGGUUGAAAAAGUUAAGAAAAAGAAAAAAAAAACAAAUCAAAAAGUGGAAUUAUUAAAAACACAAUUCAGAAACUGUUUAAAAUAUUUAAAAGCAAAUAAAAAAAGAAAUAAAUUAAAGUAAAAUAGUAAGAAAAAAGAAAUAAAUUAAAAAUCAAAACUAAACAAAUCAAAACAAAAACA